rnacentral:lncRNA from 1 species
AAGGGAGAAGGGCUUCAUUGAUUUUUAUUUAUGAUCUGAGAAGUUAUAGGCCAUCAUGGUGGGGAUGGCAUGACUGGCACGUGGCACGUGGCAUGUGGCAGUGGGAAUGUGUGAUUGCUCCUUUCUCACAUUGCUGUGGAUCUGGAAACAGACACAGGAUAGGAGGCAAGAUCAUGCUAUAGUCCUACAGCAUCACUUCAGACUCACUUCCUCCUGUGCAUCUCUGCCUCCUAAAGCUCCUGCAACUCCCAAAGCUAGCUGGGGACCAAGUAGUCAAAGAUAAACCAGCCUUUGGGCGACAUUUCCCAUGCAGACAGUAACAGUCACCCCAUGGAAGAAUUGAAGACAAACAAACAAACAAACAAACAAACAACCCUGUGAAAUGUGUAACUUGCCCAUUUAUCUCUGCUUGGCUUCAGAUGCUCCUGUCUUUACAAGAGUAAAGUUUUCUUUGCAAAACAGUGGCUUAACACAUGUAUCUUCCUUCACUGGGUGUGAGACUCCAAAGGGGCAAAAUUGGUUCUUGGGCACAGAGGCUGAAAUUGUAUUUACUCCUUUUAUGUUCAUAGCUUAGGUAUACAUAAGUGCAUAAACAGUUAUACAGUAAUGACAUCAGCAUUUCAUGAGGAGGGAAUCCAACAUAAAACAUGUCUGGAAGGUCUUCUUAUGGGAAGAUAACUUUAUAAGGUUGGGAGACCCUGACCUGUUGCAACAAAUGUGCAGUAGAAAGACUCUUUCUUUCAUUUCCGUUCUUUUUGCCCCUGGUUUGGGUUUGCUCUCUGUGCUUUCCCUAAUGUGUUGUUGAAACACAGAGCCACUGCAGAACUAGUGAGUCAAGGUCAAGGCAGUAAAUGCUUUGUGCACUUCCUGGAGCCUGAGUGGCCGGGCUCUGCAUGACAUCAGAAAAGGAGCGACUUCCCAAUCUGAAUCUGGGAGAAUCAACAGAAGCAUUAUUGCACGGGUAGUUUUUGUCUCAAAAUUUAUUUUUUUCUUCUCACUGUCUUUGUUAUUGUGCCAGCAUAGCUUAGACAGCAUCCAGGUUUGGGGUCAAAUAGUCCCUGAAAUUCUAGUUGUGCAGUCUUGGACAGUUAAACCCUCUAAGCGCCAACUUUGUUUCACAAAUGAGCACAAUACUCACUAUUAGCAUGUAGGGCUGUGGAGGGCAGUCAACACUAUCAUGUCUGGUUUAUAUUAGGCUCUUAAGGAAAUUGUGUUUCUAUUCCUGUCGUGUGUGUGUGUAUGUGUGUGUGUAUUUUAAAAAGAAAAUAAAGUCAUGCCUCAGUAACUAUGAAGACAGAAUCUGAAUCCCCUUACAAAUACCCAAACUUGAGCCUGCUAAAGUGCCUUAAAUAAACAAAAUUUAAAAAUUAUUUCAACAUGAGUAUAUAAUAUGCAUAUCCUCCCAUGUGUUUCAAAUCAUCUCUGGAUUAUUCAUAGUACCUAAUAGAGUAAUGUACUAGAAAUAGAUGUUAUACUGCAUAUCAAGGGGGAAAGGAGAAAUGUGUACAUGUUCAGUAUAGAUACAAUUUUUAAAGUACUUUCACUUCACGGUUGACUGAGCCUGUAGCUUCAAUCUGUGUCUUUAGAAAACUGGGCAUAUCAGCAACAGUGACUGUACUAGUGUCUCAUGGCUCCUCCAGAAAUGUCUGUGCAUAGUUGGCUUGUUGUGGACUUAAGGAAAGAAGUUCUGAAUCCGGGAGAAGGCUGAGAGAGGCCAUGUUUAUUAAAAGAUCUUUAAAUACAGCAGAAAGAAAAAAAAUUCUGUUUCCUUUCCCUGUCCGUACCACAAGUUAUAGGGUACACAUUUUUUAAAAAAGGAGGCAUGAGCAGCCAGUCAGUAACCACAGAGCCCCACACUCUAUUCACCUGUUCCUUAGAUGAAUCCUAGCCCACCAAGAGUACAAGGGAAUUGAACUUCUCCUAGUGUUUGACCUCCAGAUUUCUCAUUCUUCCUCUACAACCUUUGGUAUUUACCAAACUUUGGACACUUUCUUUUUCUUGGACACUGAUUAUUUUCAACUCAUAAAUUCUACAGUAGUGAGAACUCCUAGCUC